GUCGGGAGUCUUGCACAAUGGGGGAAACCCUGAUGCAGCGACGUCGCGUGUGGGAUGAAGUAUUUCGGUAUGUAAACCACUUUUGCGGGGGGCGAAAAAAAUGACGGUACCCCGCGAAUAAGCCCCGGCUAACUACGUGCCAGCAGCCGCGGUAAUACGUAGGGGGCGAGCGUUGCUCGGAUUGACUGGGCGUAAAGCGCGCGCAGGCGGUCCAUGAAGUGUGCGGUGAAAUUCGGAGGCUCAACCUCCGUCCCGCCGCGCAAACUGGUGGUCUUGAGAUGGGGAGGGGGAUGCGGAAGUCCUGGUGUAGCGGUGAAAUGCAUUGAUAUCAGGAGGAACACCGGCGGCGAAAGCGGCAUCCUGGCUUAUAUCUGACGCUGAGGCGCGAAAGCGUGGGUAGCAAACAGGAUUAGAUACCCGAGUAGUCC
rnacentral:rRNA from 1 species